rnacentral:rRNA from 1 species
CGAGGAAUCUUCGACAAUGGGCGCAAGCCCGAUCGAGCAACGCCGCGUGGAGGACGACGGCCUUCGGGUUGUAAACUCCUUUCGGGGGGAGUGAUUGGGACAGUACCCCCAGAAGCAGCCCCGGCUAACUCUGUGCCAGCAGCCGCGGUAAGACAGAGGGGGCAAGCGUUGUCCGGACUUACUGGGCGUACAGCGCGCGCAGGCGGCCUGGAAGGUGCCGGGUGACAGACAAGGGCUUAACCCUUGGCGGUCCCGGUAGACCGGCGGGCUGGAGGCUGGGAGAGGGAUGUGGAAUACCCGGUGGAGCGGUGAAAUGCGUAGAGAUCGGGUGGAACACCAGGGGCGAAGGCGGCAUCCUGGCCCAGACCUGACGCUGAGGCGCGAGAGCGUGGGGAGCGAACCGGAUUAGAUACCCGGGUAGUCCACGCCGUAAACGAUGUGAACCCGGUGCUGGGCGGUGAUUGCGCCGCUCGGUGCCCCAGCUUACGCGAUGAGUUCACCGCCUGGGGACUACGGCCGCAAGGCU